rnacentral:misc_RNA from 1 species
AACGCACAUUGCGCCCCCUGGUAUUCCGGGGGGCACGCCUGUCCGAGCGCCAUUACACCCCCCAAGCCUUGCUUGACGUUGGGCGGUGAUGUGCCAAUCACGCCCCAAACUUCAGGGCGCCCCUCCCCGGCCGCGAGCGUAGCAAGCAUUUCGUUCCGCGUGUCCGGUGGGUGGCUGCCCGCGAGAAUCACUUUCUAAGGUUUGGCCUCGGAUCAGGCGGGGAUACCCGCUGAACUUAA